rnacentral:rRNA from 1 species
AGUGAACGCUGGCGGCAUGCCUAACACAUGCAAGUCGAACGAGCUUUGGCGGUUUAUCGUCAGAGUUAGUGGCAAACGGGUGAGUAAUACGUGGACAAUCUUCCCUCGAGCGGGGGAUAACUCCGGGAAACCGGAGCUAAUACCGCGUGAGACCACGUCCUGGCAUCAGGAUGAGGUUAAAGCUCCGCAAGGGGCGCUUGAGGAGGGGUUCACGGCCUAUCAGCUAGUUGGCGGGGUUAAAGCCCACCAAGGCGACGACGGGUAACCGGUCUGAAAGGACGACCGGUCACAAUGGCACUGAGACACGGGCCAUACUCCUACGGGAGGCAGCAGUGGGGAAUUUUGCGCAAUGGGGGAAACCCUGACGCAGCGAUGCCGCGUGGAGGACGAAGGUCUUCGGAUUGUAAACUCCUUUUGUCGGUGAAAAACAUUUAGCGUGAAUAACGUAAACUGAUUGUAUCCGGCGAAUAAGCCACGGCUAACUUCGUGCCAGCAGCCGCGGUAAU